rnacentral:rRNA from 1 species
CCUACGGGCGGCAGCAGUAGGGAAUAUUGCUCAAUGGGGGAAACCCUGAAGCAGCAACGCCGCGUGGAUGAUGAAGGUUUUCGGAUUGUAAAAUCCUUUUGUUAGAGAAGAUAAUGACGGUAUCUAACGAAUAAGCACCGGCUAACUCCGUGCCAGCAGCCGCGGUAAUACGGAGGGUGCAAGCGUUACUCGGAAUCACUGGGCGUAAAGAGCGCGUAGGCGGGAUAGCAAGUCAGAUGUGAAUUCCUUUGGCUUAACCAUAGAACUGCAUUUGAAACUGUUAUUCUAGAGUAUGGGAGAGGUAGGUGGAAUUCUUGGUGGAGGGGUAAAAUCCGUAGAGAUCAAGAGGAAUACUCAUUGCGAAGGCGACCUGCUAGAACAUAACUGACGCUGAUGCGCGAAAGCGUGGGGAGCAAACAGGAUUAGAUACCCUUGUAGUC